UAGGGAAUCUUGCGCAAUGGGCGAAAGCCUGACGCAGCGACGCCGCGUGAGCGAUGAAGGCCUUCGGGUUGUAAAGCUCUGUGGGGAGGGAAGAAUAAGGGCGAGCUAAUACCUCGCUCGAUGACGGUACCUCCUUAGCAAGCACCGGCUAACUCUGUGCCAGCAGCCGCGGUAAGACAGAGGGUGCAAACGUUGUUCGGAAUUACUGGGCGUAAAGCGCGUGUAGGCGGCUAAGCAAGUCGGGCGUGAAAUCCCACGGCUCAACCGUGGAAGUGCACCCGAAACUGCAUAGCUAGAGUCCUGGAGAGGAAGGUGGAAUGCUUGGUGUAGAGGUGAAAUUCGUAGAUAUCAAGCGGAACACCGGUGGCGAAGGCGGCCUUCUGGACAGUGACUGACGCUGAGACGCGAAAGCGUGGGGAGCAAACAGGAUUAGAUACCCCCGUAGUCC
rnacentral:rRNA from 1 species